rnacentral:rRNA from 1 species
GACGAACGCUGGCGGCGUGCCUAACACAUGCAAGUCGAGCGAGUGGAGUUCUUCGGAACAAAGCUAGCGGCGGACGGGUGAGUAACACGUGGGCAACCUGCCUCAUAGAGGGGAAUAGCCCCCCGAAAGGGAGAUUAAUACCGCAUAAGAUUGUAGCUUCGCAUGAAGUAGCAAUUAAAGGAGCAAUCCGCUAUGAGAUGGGCCCGCGGCGCAUUAGCUAGUUGGUGAGGUAACGGCUCACCAAGGCGACGAUGCGUAGCCGACCUGAGAGGGUGAUCGGCCACAUUGGGACUGAGACACGGCCCAGACUCCUACGGGAGGCAGAAGUGGGGAAUAUUGCACAAUGGGGGAAACCCUGAUGCAGCAACGCCGCGUGAGUGAUGACGGCCUUCGGGUUGUAAAGCUCUGUCUUCAGGGACGAUAAUGACGGUACCUGAGGAGGAAGCCACGGCUAACUACGUGCCAGCAGCCGCCGUAACAC